rnacentral:rRNA from 1 species
AGCAGCCGCGGUAAUUCCAGCUCCAAUAGCGUAUAUUAAAGUUGUUGCAGUUAAAAAGCUCGUAGUUGAAUUUCGGGAUUGACACAUCGGUCGUGCCUUAAGGGGUAUGAACUGGUGUAGUCAAUUUCUCACCUUCUGGAGAACCGCGAUGCCCUUAAUUGGGUGUCGCGGGGAACCAGGACCUUUACUUUGAAAAAUUAGAGUGUUUAAAGCAGGCAUUUUGCUUGAAUACAUUAGCAUGGAAUAAUAAAAUAGGACGGCAUGGUUCUAUUUUGUUGGUUUCUAGGACCACCGUAAUGAUUAAUAGGGAUAGUUGGGGGCAUUAGUAUUCAAUUGUCAGAGGUGAAAUUCUUGGAUUUAUUGAAGACUAACUACUGCGAAAGCAUUUGCCAAGGAUGUUUUCAUUAAUCAAGAACGAAAGUUAGGGGAUCGAAGACGAUCAGAUACCGUCGUAGUCUUAACCAUAAACUAUGCCGACUAGGAAUCAGACGAUGUUAAUUUUUAAUGACUCGUUUUGGCA